UACGAGAGGCCCAAACGUUAUUCGGAUUUACUGGGCUUAAAGAGUUCGUAGGCGGCGCAGAAAGUAGGGUGUGAAAGCCCUCGGCUCAACCGAGGAAUUGCGCUCUAAACUACUGUGCUUGAGGAACCUAGAGGUGAGCAGAACUGAUGGUGGAGCGGUGAAAUGCGUUGAUAUCAUCAGGAAUACCGGAGGCGAAGGCGGCUCACUGGGGGGUUAUCUGACGCUGAGGAACGAAAGCCAGGGGAGCGAACGGG
rnacentral:rRNA from 1 species